UUUUGGACAAUGGGGGCAACCCUGAUCCAGCAAUGCCGCGUGCAGGAAGAGGGCCUUCGGGUUGUAAACUGCUUUUGUCAGGGAAGAAAUCCUGUGGGUUAAUACCUCGUGGGGAUGACGGUACCUGAAGAAUAAGCACCGGCUAACUACGUGCCAGCAGCCGCAGUAAUACGUAGGGUGCGAGCGUUAAUCGGAAUUACUGGGCGAAAGCGUGCGCAGGCGGUUUUGUAAGACAGAGGUGAAAUCCCCGGGCUCAACCUGGAACUGCCUUUGUACUGCAAGGCUGAGACGGCAAAGGGGAUGAAUUCCGCGUGAGCGGUAAAUGCGAAUUGCGAGAACACCAUGGCAAGGAAUCCCCUGGGCCUUCUGCGUCUCC
rnacentral:rRNA from 1 species